CAGUCGAGCGGAACGAGUUAUCUGAACCUUCGGGGAACGAUAACGGCGUCGAGCGGCGGACGGGUGAGUAAUGCCUGGGAAAUUGCCCUGAUGUGGGGGAUAACCAUUGGAAACGAUGGCUAAUACCGCAUAAUAGCUUCGGCUCAAAGAGGGGGACCUUCGGGCCUCUCGCGUCAGGAUAUGCCCAGGUGGGAUUAGCUAGUUGGUGAGGUAAGGGCUCACCAAGGCGACGAUCCCUAGCUGGUCUGAGAGGAUGAUCAGCCACACUGGAACUGAGACACGGUCCAGACUCCUACGGGAGGCAGCAGUGGGGAAUAUUGCACAAUGGGCGCAAGCCUGAUGCAGCCAUGCCGCGUGUAUGAAGAAGGCCUUCGGGUUGUAAAGUACUUUCAGCAGUGAGGAAGGUAGUGUCGUUAAUAGCUGCAUUAUUUGACGUUAGCUGCAGAAGAAGCACCGGCUAACUCCGUGC
rnacentral:rRNA from 1 species